CACAUAUCAAAAACAAUCUGUGGGCUGUGGCCGGCCCUAUAUACAUAAUCAAGUGUUUGCUGAAGAAAGAUGCUGGAAAAUGAUUGGGAAACACAACCUAGCCAAGAUCAAGUUUUUGGGUAUUGAUCUUUUUUCAAAAGAUUGUACUGGAGAUUUCCAAGGUUGUGUUGGUAUAUGCUGGAAAGAUUGUGUUGGGAUGUCUAAAGAGCCACGAGAUUUCGAGGACUUUAUAAGAUGGAGUUCUAGCGAACAAUUUUGGUUCUCGAGACCAUGAUUAAGACAGAUCAUACCAACACACUACCAGAUAAUGAUCAACCUUCUAGUGACCACAACAAGGGGUCACAAGAACUUGCAAAGAGGAUGGCUAAAGAGCCGCGAGAUUUUAAGGAUUUCAUCAAGUGGAGUUCUAGCGGAAUCUCUAGCAAAGAGGAUCACUAAAGAGCCAAGAGAUUUCAUAGAUUAUAUCAAGUUGAGUUCUGUUAAGUAGAUUUUAUGGAACCCUCACCUUCCUGGUUUCGUUGGUUCCUGAUUUUAAUGGUGCUUAUUUGAAUAAAUCAGUUUACUUUGUAAUUGUAUAUUUGUAUAUGUGUCAUCGGCCAUCUUUAUGUAUUAAGAUUUGGUAUUAGAUUUGAAUAAAUGAAUAGUUUUAUCAA